rnacentral:rRNA from 1 species
UAGCGUAGGGGGCAAGCGUUGUCCGGAAUUAUUGGGCGUAAAGCGCGCGCAGGCGGCCUAUUAAGUCUGAUGUGAAAGCCCAGCGGCUCAACCGUGGAGGGCCAUUGGAAACUGGUAGGUCUUGAGUGCAGGAGAGGAGAGCGGAAUUCCUGGUGUAGCGGUGAAAUGCGUGAGAUAUCAUGAGGAACACCGGUGGCGAAGGCGGGUCUCUGGGCCGUAACUGACGCUGAGGAGCGAAAGCAUGGGGGAGCGAAACAGG